rnacentral:rRNA from 1 species
AACGAACGCUGGCGGCAUGCCUAACACAUGCAAGUCGAACGAGACCUUCGGGUCUAGUGGCGCACGGGUGCGUAACGCGUGGGAACCUGCCCUUAGGUUCGGAAUAACUCCCCGAAAGGGGUGCUAAUACCGGAUAAUGUCUUCGGACCAAAGAUUUAUCGCCUUUGGAUGGGCCCGCGUUGGAUUAGCUAGUUGGUAGGGUAAAAGCCUACCAAGGCGACGAUCCAUAGCUGGUCUGAGAGGAUGAUCAGCCACACUGGGACUGAGACACGGCCCAGACUCCUACGGGAGGCAGCAGUGGGGAAUAUUGGACAAUGGGCGAAAGCCUGAUCCAGCAAUGCCGCGUGAGUGAUGAAGGCCUUAGGGUUGUAAAGCUCUUUUACCCGGGAUGAUAAUGACAGUACCGGGAGAAUAAGCCCGGGCUAACUCCGUG